GAGGAUUCUGAGUUUUGGAGCGUCUAUUGCCAAGCCUAUGGCAGGAAUGUUGCCCAGAUGCUGGUGUGCCUCUCAGAGGGUUGAGAAGAGGCCAGACCCUGGGAAAUCCAACUGUGAAAUACUGAGAACAAGAAUGUGGGCAGACCAUUCUGAUGGUGUCACUUUGAAAUCAGCCAAGAUGCAGUGGGUCUUAGUAAAGCAAUGGACCUCAAAACAGAUUGCAAAACAAGAACUGGUAAGUAUUAGCACAGAGACAUCACAUUAAAAGGAAGAUAAGCCAAAUGAAAAGGAGAGUUCCAAAUACCAGGUCACGAUUGAAGGGGAAAUAUAUCUGUAGAGAGAUAUGGAAAUGUGUGUGUAUACGGCCUGGAUAUAUACAAACAUCUCUCCAGAUACAGAAGCAAAUGCAGAAUGUCCACAUCUCCAGGCAGAUUUGUAAGUCAUAGGUAAUGAUCAAAGAACGCAGGGAGCAAUAGUUCACCAUAAUUUGGUCAUUUGUCAAGGGAUUACAUAUUUAAAAUCCACAUUUAAUUCAAAGACCUUGUAUUUAAAACAUUUCCAGCUGCUUUAUACAUUUUUUAAGCAAUAGUAAGAUAUACAAGCUGCAAGAUAUAGGCCUUUACAUUUCAUUUUCUGUAAUAUUUUUCCUGUUCAAACACAUGGCUACUAGCAGCUUUUAUGAUGCUUGCUCCAGUACAUUGAACGUUCAGCUAACCUCCACUCAGGAUCAUUUUCAUUAAUGCAUAGACUAAAGAAAUAAAUAAACAUGGACCUGGCCUCAAACGCAUAGACUAAAAAAUGACAUCCCCAUCUUUUCUCAUUUCGUCUCCUGAGAUGUAUGUUAAGAUGGCAAAAUAGUUGCUUGGUGGUGGUUGUUGUGAAAUUCACAGUGUUUUGCCUACAACACAUAUACAGAUAUAUAUAUAUAUAUUUUUUUUUUUGCUUUGCUUUGUGUUUGUGCUGAAUGGAGCAAAAGUAUAUAAAUAAAUAAAUAAAUACAUAAUUAAAUAAAUAAAGGUCAAAGGAAAAGGAGGGGAAAUGCAAAAACUAAGGAUAUUCAAGAACCUUUGACUUGAGCAGCAGUGAUUCAUUCCAGCCCUGACAACAAGAAAAUACCCCUUCCUGCACUGUCGUUUCUAACUAUAAAUCCCUCCCACCCCUCAUUCUUUAGAAUGACAUUUGAAAUUCAUGUACAAGCUAUCACAACCUCAGAGGCUCCACAUUCCAAUUAUGCAUCAUAAAAAAUCAGCUGUAACUACUAACUUAGACAUUUGGAGAGUUGGGUCACUAGCCAUUCCUCUCAUGAGAUUUCCUAUAACAGUGAUAUAUGGCCAAACCAAAGGUCAACAUUGAAAAUAAAAGUCCUGAGACAGGGGAUGAAAAAGAAAAUGGGGAAGCAAGAGAAUUGAGGGUAUGUGUGUAUAUGCAGUCAUUUAUUUAGUUAGAUACAACAAUGUUAUUGGUAUUACAGGCAGUCCAAUUUGUGAAAAGAAAGAUUCAAAGAAAGUCCAUACUUGACCAGGUAAUCCUGCUGUUAGGACGCUUUGAAAAGGACAGCAUUCUAUACUGUUAGUUGGUGCAUUCACUCUAGGAUGUGGGAAUUCCUAAGAGUUGCUCAUCUCGCUGUGGGGUCUUGGACUGCUCAUCAUUGGCCUUCAAGCCACUGGGCUGCCAACAUUCCAAUUUAUAUUUGGAAUGCUUGAACUCUGAACUCAAGUGUAAAGGGGUCACAGUGAGACAGAGACAAGGUGAGCAUAAUACAAAUGUGCUGAAAGACAAAAAGAAAGCAAUGUUCCUUUCCUGGACCAUUACAAAAAGUAUCUUUCUUUGCAAGGAGCCAGAGAAAGCACUCAAUGUAGUGGGAUGGCUUUUAUUCAGUUGUUUUGGGAAGCACAUUAUCUUAAAUAUGUCUUCCACCCAUGCAGUACUGCACAGAGUUGAAAAGUGUGAUGUAGUCCUACCCACGUGGAGUAUGGAAGCACUAACAGCAACAUGACGUUAAACAGUUUUGGUUAUUUAGCAUAUUUUAAGCAAAUUAUUCAUACCGCAUCCUACUUAUAAUUACCUCUAUUAUUGUGUGCCUAUAAAUUUAUACAUAAACACACAAACACACUACGUAUGUGCAUUUGUAUAUGUAUAAAUCAAGUAUUUAUAACACAUACAUAAAUACAUGAAAACAUCACAGGUAGCGCUGAUGUGAACACAUGUAUAAUAUGAAUUCUGAUAUAAUCUUUUAUAGCAUAGUUCAAAGUGUUUUCUAAAUAAGCCUGAUUAUGACAUUGGUUCAGUGUACAAGAAUUUAGCUGAAUUUAGCUGAAGCUAAGAGCAUGAUUAUAUAUCACAAUAUCUCAGUUGCUUGUCAUCUCCUGUAUUUCCUUUUGUUCUUCUAACUUCAUAUACUGCUUCAUGAAUGUGUUAGCAUGCUUUCUUUCCUGAACUGCUUGUUUGCAUAUUAGAGUCUCUAGUGGACAGAACCACGAAGUUCAGAGUGAGAGUACUUGGAUUCAGUCCCAAUGGUGCUGGAAGCUAGGCUGGAGACCUCUAGCGUGCCUCUGAAUGUCUCUGAGUCUCAACGUCCUCAUCUACACAAAAUAGGAAUAAUUUGCUAACACACAUGGAAAGUGUUUGGAAAACUAUUCAAUGACUUCUAAAUGGAAAUGAUUGUCAGACCAGGUUUGGGCUAGAGAAUUAGGUUUGUCACUGUUAUACUGUUGUAGUUUUCACAAAUUUGAUGGAAGGCCGUAUUUGGUGAUCAUUACAUUUUAGAACGAGGAUGCCACUCUUCUAAAAAUCAGACCAUGAGAAAGGGGGUGGUGGAGGAACAACAAUGAAUAAUUUCAGAUAUUCUGUGGCUCGUUCAGCUACUUUAAAAGCAAUCUGAUAUUCUUUCAAUUUGAGAUGUCUCUGAAAUCAGCACAUACUCUUAAGACAACAGAGAUAGUAAUAGUAAUAAUCAGCAAUAAAAAUAACUAUAAAACUUUGCACUUGCAUAGAACCUUUUAUUUCAAGACCUUUAGGGACUUGUCAGAAGGUAUAAGUGGAAUUUUAUUUUAUUUUUUGCUUUUUUCUUUCAGAGAAAAAAAAGACAAAACUGGAAUGGGAUGCUCCCAAAGUCUCAUUUGCCUUAAACAAAUCUUUGCUCUAAAAUUGCACAUUCCUCCUUGAAUUUGAUCCCUUAAAUUAUUACCUACUUUAUUCUCUUAAAAUAAAAUAAAUAACUUGUAGCUUUUCCCCCGAGAUUAGCUGGCCAGACAUGCAGCGUGACAAACCUGUGUUGGUUUUUGCUGAUGGAAUCUAGAAAAGUUUUUGUACAAAUCUGCCCCUUCCUUACUGCGUCACAGAGUUCUACAGUGUUUUAAGAGUACCAUGGGUCCUUAAUAUGAUACAUACAUGCACAUGUAUGUAUAUAUAUGUGCACAUAUAUAUCAUGGAGAUAUGGCUUUCAUUAUGUUAUUAUGUGUAUUCUAGAGGGUUUUUUUAAAAUCAUCAACAAAGAGAACAAACGACCCAACUCUCAUCUCUCAUAGGCCAGCAUAUAACUUGAAUGGACGUAAG
rnacentral:lncRNA from 1 species